GUUUGCUUGUGGAAUAAUGCUUGGGCAAUUCUAUCAUGGAGAUGACUUGACUUAGAGCUGCUUAGAAUGUAUUUGGACAUGUUGGUAAUUUUUGUUGUAAUUUGGAAUGUUGUAAUGGUUGACGUAUGAAUGUAGGGUUGUGAUUUUGAAUGUAUGAAAUAUUGGAUUGUUGAUGUAUAUAUAUGGUUUAGUGGUGUUAUACCCCAAAAUCUAUCCUAUUAUUC
rnacentral:lncRNA from 1 species